rnacentral:rRNA from 1 species
ACGCACGCUGGCGGCGCGCCUAACCCAUGCAAGUCGAACGGAGCUGAGAGAAGCUUGCUUUUCUUAGCUUAGUGGCGAACGGGUGAGUAACGCGUGAGUAACCUGCCCUGGAGUGGGGGACAACAGUUGGAAACGACUGCUAAUACCGCAUAAGCCCACGAUCCGGCAUCGGAUUGAGGGAAAAGGAUUUAUUCGCUUCAGGAUGGACUCGCGUCCAAUUAGCUAGUUGGUGAGGUAACGGCCCACCAAGGCGACGAUUGGUAGCCGGACUGAGAGGUUGAACGGCCACAUUGGGACUGAGACACGGCCCAGACUCCUACGGGAGGCAGCAGUGGGGGAUAUUGCACAAUGGGGGAAACCCUGAUGCAGCGACGCCGCGUGGAGGAAGAAGGUUUUCGGAUUGUAAACUCCUGUCGUGAGGGACGAUAAUGACGGUACCUAACAAGAAAGCACCGGCUAACUACGUG